UACGUAGGGUGCGAGCGUUAAUCGGAAAUUACUGGGCGUAAAGCGUGCGCAGGCGGCGCGUUAAGACAGGUGUGAAAGCCCCGAGCUUAACUUGGGAAUUGCGCUUGUGACUGGCGUGCUGGAGUGUGGCAGAGGGAGGUGGAAUUCCACGUGUAGCAGUGAAAUGCGUAGAGAUGUGGAGGAACACCGAUGGCGAAGGCAGCCUCCUGGGCCAGCACUGACGCUCAUGCACGAAAGCGUGGGGAGCAAACAGG
rnacentral:rRNA from 1 species